GGCAGAGGGAGCCCGGCCUCCGUGUCCCGGCACCAGACGGCAAGGGACACGAGGAAAGUCCCCCCACCGUCCGGGCAGGUGACCGGGUGCAAACCCGGAGCGGGAGACCGCUGGCGCUGGAACAGAAACGAGACCACUCCGCUCGACUGAUGACGUGCGCGAACCCGGAGCGACCGGCCUCGCCGGGAAGCGACGGGGAGCUAACCCACAGAGGGUAGCGCGGUGACGCAGUCACCGCGGGACGGCGAACGGGCACGAGCCCGUGAGCCCGCGUGGCGCGAAGCGCAACGCAGACGGCGUCCGAGCGUCCAUCAGGACUCUCGGGCCCGUCGGGCGCGUAGCGUCCGACGGUGGAGUACGGAUGGAACGGCGAAUCCUCACCGGUGCAAGUCCGCGCGGCAAGGUAGCCCGGGCGCGAGCGCGGACGCUCAGCCGAAUGCCGGGCCGAACAGAAGGGGGCUUACUCCCCUCAGCC
rnacentral:RNase_P_RNA from 1 species